rnacentral:rRNA from 1 species
UACGUAGGGUGCGAGCGUUGUUCGGAUUCAUUGGGCGUAAAGGGUGCGUAGGUGGCGGGGUAAGUCAGGUGUGAAAUUUCGGAGCUUAACUCCGAAACUGCAUUUGAUACUGCCUUGCUUGAGGACUGGAGAGGAGACUGGAAUUCACGGUGUAGCGGUGGAAUGCGUAGAGAUCCGGAAGAACACCGGUGGCGAAGGCGGCCUGCUGGGCUAUGGCUGACACUGAGGCGCGACAGCGUGGGGAGCAAACAGG